ensembl:lncRNA
UAGUAUGGUCCCCCACGUCCAUCACCAAAGGUAACGCACACUGACAGGUGCCUGCAUGUGUGAGCAUGUGUGAGUGUGAGCGGGAGAGAGUGGUCCCAGGCCAGAGACGCUUUAAGUGACAACGGAGCUGUCAGUUUGCAUAAAACACACACACCCUCACCCACUCCCUCUCGCCAUCUCCCUCCUGGUAUUGUUUUUCCUCUCUUCCCACCUCUCUGUUUGUGUUCACGUGUGUUUGCGCUCCCAUGCCACGCCCCAACGCGACUUCGGGCCCUCACCGGUCCCUCCCGGAUGAGUUCCAGAUCCUCCCUGGCCCCCUGAACUGCGAGUGUUUUUACAUGUGGGGGAGAUGACAUAUGCACUGAACGCGCACCAGAAGAGAGGGGACGAGCGGAACCAUCCAAUCAGAGACCAGGGGAGGGGCAGUCAGGUACCUACGUUGGUAGAGCCAUGACAACAGGCAUAAUUACCCACUCUUGAGAUGAGUACCGAGGGAUCUUCAGUGACCAUGGGGAGUAAAGGACCUGGGUUUAGAGCACAAACAAAGCCGUCUGGAACCGUUGAACCGAGAUGGAGCCCUUUCGCUCUACCCUUUUCUUCAAAGCAGAGCGCCCUUCUCUGUGGCGAGGUCAGUCCCCUGAUUGGUGGGAUGGCUCCAAGUCGUUCUGCCGGUUCUCCCCUCUGAUCCGAGUUUGGAGUUAUACACGUGUGCUCUUUCAGCAGGAAUACAAAAUAUAUCCAGCCCCGCGUCUGGAC